UUCACACAGGCACUGGUACCGGCUAAUUAAUAGUAACUUAGUAGUAGGCAAAGUUUUCAUUAGCAGCGCCGUUAUUCUGUACGGGUGCCGUCGCACCGCCGCCCCUUGCUUUGUCUAAUUCGGAUUGGCAACAAAGUAUGCAUCCGAUAUUUUUCAAAAAUUGGCUUCUACCAUUAAUGGGUCGUUAUUAAAUCGGAUUCGGAAUUUUUAUCGAGAACGGAAGACAACAAAAACAGUUUCUCUGAAAACGCUGCAGCGCCCACCGUCCAUGUUUCGCACCCGUACAGCGCCGACCUCCAAACAUAGGUACUCCUUUAGCAACCUCUUUUGAAUUUCUAAAUUAAGCGUUCGCGAGCAUAGAAGUGAUUUCUUUUUAUUGAAGGCUACUCAACCCUGCGCUAUCCUCUGCUUUAUUUCCCUACUACUCCUUCCAUCGUAACUUAUUUGACACUAUAUAUUGUAUCUACCUAGAUAAAGGAAAAAUCUGGAUCCAUGUUGCGCUAGUCAAUCUGGAGUUCAACCGGGAAACAUGGACAAACAACGUGUAGG